CCCCUCCCACAAUGCACAGCGUCAUAGUGCCCUUUAUAAAUGAAUGCGUGACUUCCGCUCACUCUCUCAGUCUGCUGGAACUAUGUGGAACAGAGGCGUUAGCUGAGGAAUUCCCAGCUCUCCUGUUGAGCAGGUGGUGUCAAGAGUUGCAGCUAUGGGAUAGAGCUUCCAACAGAGCCCUGCUUUCCUUUGGGCAUAAAGGCUGAGCCCCUAAAGGCUGCUGUGUGGGACUGACAGUCAUGCUGCCGGCUGCCUGAGGCAGCGUGUGAGUAGCUGGCCUGCAGGGGGGGCAGCAACACUGCUGGACUGGAGCCUGACCCGGGUUUGUUGAGUGAGAUGCUGCCAGGCCGGUCGGAGUGGAUGGUCACCAGUAACACCAUGCUUCAGCACGCCUGUCUACCUGGUAGAAGCAGCAAAUAGGACUUGUACAUGUAAUAUCCUGAAGGCAUCACCUGCAUUGACAUCUACAGGAAAUAUUUGUAAUUGGAAUAUAAAGUAUCUUGAAUAAAGUUAUUAAAUUAUGUACAAAUGUUUGA